rnacentral:rRNA from 1 species
UACGUAGGGUGCGAGCGUUGUCCGGAAUUACUGGGCGUAAAGAGCUCGUAGAUGGUUUGUCGCGUUGUUCGUGAAAACUCACAGCUCAACUGUGGGCGUGCGGGCGAUACGGGCAGACUGGAGUACUGCAGGGGAGACUGGAAUUCCUGGUGUAGCGGUGGAAUUCGUAGAUAUUGGGAAGAACACCGGAGGCGAAGGCGGGUUGCUGGGCCGACACUGACGCUGAGGCGCGAAAGCCAGGGGAGCAAGCGGG